AGAGUUUGAUCAUGGCUCAGGACGAACGCUGGCGGCGUGCUUAACACAUGCAAGUCGAACGGUAAGGCCCCUUCGGGGGUACACGAGUGGCGAACGGGUGAGUAACACGUGAGCAACCUGCCCUUGACUCUGGGAUAACAGUUGGAAACAGCUGCUAAUACCGGAUACGACCCUUGAUGGCAUCAUCGAGGGUGGAAAGCGCUUUAGCGGUCAAGGAUGGGCUCGCGGCCUAUCAGCUUGUUGGUGAGGUAACGGCUCACCAAGGCUUCGACGGGUAGCCGGCCUGAGAGGGCGACCGGCCACACUGGGACUGAGAUACGGCCCAGACUCCUACGGGAGGCAGCAGUGGGGAAUAUUGCACAAUGGGCGCAAGCCUGAUGCAGCAACGCCGCGUGCGGGAUGACGGCCUUCGGGUUGUAAACCGCUUUCAGUUCCGACGAAGCGCAAGUGACGGUAGGAACAGAAGAAGGACCGGCCAACUACGUGCCAGCAGCCGCGGUG
rnacentral:rRNA from 1 species